rnacentral:tRNA from 1 species
GCCUGGGUGGCUCAGUCAGUUAAGCGUCUGACUUCGGCUCAGGUCAUGAUCUCACAGGUUCGUGGGUUUGAGCCCCAUGUCAGGCU